UUUUGUUUGUACCUUUUCUGUUGAUAGCGUAGUCUGUUUGAUGCUUUCAAUUUUAUACAUAUGUGUAUAUGAGAAGCUUUUCGUUAGAUUUAUUGUUUAAAAAUGAGGGAAAGCGUACGAAUUUUGCGCAUAUUUUUGUGGAAGAAUUGGCGACAAAUUCGAUACUCGUGGAUAUCUUUACUGAUGAUAUUCGUCGGCUGUUCAGGCAUUUUCAUUGUUUACUUAUUUUCUACAAAUAGGCUUCUGACAACGCCUCAAACGACUUAUGAGGGGAGAUUAUUUUACGAUAUUAAAACGGAAUUUCCCUCUAAUGACGUUGAUCGAAUUUUCUACGCCCCAAACAAUUUGCGAACAAAUAUAUUGAUGGAAGAAGUACGUCAAGAACUGCAGUAUCCACACACUGGUCUCAGGUUCUUUGGUAACUCAAGUGAGAUGAUUCUUGAAAUGGAGCGCAGCUGUAAAGGGAACUGUUAUGCUGUGAACUUCUUAAAUUAUCCGACUGAUGCAUCACGCGAGAAAUUGAAGUAUUCGAUAAGUUCAACAAGUAUAAGAAUAUCACCAAAGAAGCGUUAUGUUAAUGACGAAGAGGUAGCUGGAAUAAAAGAUGAUGAUGACUACAUACGAUCUGGUUUUAUGACCCUUCAACACACAAUUGAUAGAAUGUUUAUAACACUUCAAGACAGUCCCAAAGCAAUUAACUUCGACUUUGAAAUCGCUUCAAUGCCUACAAUUGCGCAAGAAACAAUUGAUUCUCAGCGUAUUAUUUGGUUUGGUUCCUUAUAUUCAGUUAUUUUUAAUGUUUUACUGCUUAGUACGUUUCUUGUACCUCUUGUCGAAGAAAAACAAAAUGGUAUCAAGGAAUUUUUAACAAUUGCAACUCCCAUGAAUUUUUUGAAUGGUGUUAGCUUUUUCGUGAUCAGAUUAUUUAUGUAUGCAGUGUUUACCGUGGUGGUGCUAAUUGCUGGUGGGAUAUAUCAGGCUUUCAGUGAAAUUGUGCCUGUCGGAUAUAUAAUUGUACUAUUUGUGUUCUACAUACUUUCUGCUAUGUCUUACACGUAUCUGAUAUCAGUAUUUUUUCACUCAGUAUUUCAUGCCAAAGUUGGUGGACUUUUAAUGUUGGUUGCGCCAUAUAUUCUAUACUUCUCAAAAGGAGAAGUUUCAACAUUAGCAAACAUAUUUAGCACGAAAACAUUCAUGGAGGGAAUUAAAAAUUUUCAAAUCUUCACCAAUAAGUAUCGUGAAGUUGGCCCCAGUGUACUUAAUAUAAACAUAACAGAAUCAUCAUUUACAGUGAUAUCCGUUUAUUGCAUUUUUAUAGCCCAGUGCUUAAUAUAUGCAAUGUUAUAUAAUUACUUGGCAUAUGUAUUUCCUGGCCCAGGUAGUUUACAAAGGCCAUAUCUCCUUCCUAUCAUGUCAUUAUGGAGAAGAAAUAAACCAAGCACUGAGUAUACAACCAGCAAAAUUGGAACCGAUGCCAUUAUCAUUCAAGACCUUCAUAAAUCGUUUAAAAAACCUAUGCGAAUUAUUUCCGAUGGUCUUAAUAUAGCUAUUAAGAAUAAACAAAUUACUGUACUCCUGGGACAUAAUGGAGUAGGUAAAACGACGACAUUGAAUAUGAUUAUGGGCUCCGAACUUCAAGAUUCGGGUAAAAUAACGGUAUGUGGAGAGCAUGAGGUUGGCUCAUAUCGUCAUUUAAUUGGAUAUUGCCCACAGAAGAGUGUUUUCAUGCCUUAUAUGACUUGCGCUGAACAUUUUAAUUUUUUCGCUCAGAUUAGAGGAAUGUCAAAGCAUGAUGCCGCCAUAAUUACAGAUGAAUUAUUAAUUAAGCUCAAUUUACAAGAUAAGGAAAAAGAAUUCGGAAACUGUUUAUCCGGUGGUAUGAAACGAAGAUUAGCCCUGGGAAUAGCGAUUGCGGGUAAUACAAAAGUCGUAAUUUUAGAUGAGCCGUCCUCUGGAUUAGAUAUCGAAUCACGCCGCGAAUUAUGGGACAUAUUGCUUAAAUUGAGGAAAUCAAAAGCCAUUUUGAUAACUACGCAUCACAUGGAAGAAGCGGAAGUGCUAGGUGACACUAUCGCCAUACUAGCUAAUGGUCGUGUUCACUGCUCUGGGUCACCUUUAGAACUGAAACGCAAAAUUGGUCAAGGAUAUGUACUAAAAUUGUGCAUAAGUACAGAUCAAUUUAAGGAUGAGAUUCUACAAAUAAUUCAGCAACAAAUGCCUGCCUCAAAAAUUUUGACCGUAGUCCUGCCUGCACUGCACAUUAGCUUACCAUACGAAAACCAGAGUGAAUACAGUAAAGUACUGCAACAAUUAGAGCGUAGGCAGAGGGAGUUGGGUAUUAAUUCAAUUUCUAUCUCUGAUGCUUCGUUGGAGGAUGUUUUUCUAAAUUGUUUAUCUGAAAUUGACGUUGUGGAUGGUAUAGGAUCGGAUAAAGAAACUCCUGCGUACACACCGUUUGAGUCACAGAAAUCUCGAAUAAGUUGGAAAGAGCAAUCAGAAGCGAUUUUUUAUAAAAAAUUUAUAUUUAUAAAAAGUCAAUGGGGUAACACUUUGCUAAUGGUUUUACUUCCGAUGCUAAGUCUUGCAAUUGCGUUGGUAUUAAUGCAUUCCAUGUCGCUAGUCACUUAUGAAGACAAGUUGGUUUUAAAUCUGAAUUCCAUACAGCGCGGUAUUAUACUGGUCGACGGUUCCAAUACUGAAAUUUUAAAUAUAUUAAAAACAGAAAUUGAGAAAUAUGAUGGCAUACAAGUCGAAAGUCUGGAAAAGAGGAAUGGAGAAAACAUUACAGAUUUUUUGCUAAAUCUCCAAUAUCAAAAUUUGGCAUAUUUUUUGGAAAACUAUAUCGGUGUUAUUGAUUUAACCACAGAAAGAAAUGACAAUAUUAAUUUCAAUAUUUAUUUCUCUGGCAACAUAUACCACAGUUCUGUUAUUUUACUAAAUUUAGUUGAUGAUACAGUUGCUCGUUGGAAAAUGGGAGAAUCUGCCGGAAUUGAGACCACUUAUGUUCCCAUUAGAAGAUACAUUAGUGAUGUAAGUCCUACGCGAUUGGAAUACUUUGCAGUGAUAAUGCCAAUUGGAUUGUUUUUCAGCAUAUUUUUUUAUAUUGCAUUGCCUUUUCACGAGCACGCAAGUGAAUUCAAGCAGUUACAAGCCAUACCACGAACGAUUUUUUGGCUUGCAACAUUUGUUUUUGAUGCUGCGCAGCAUUUCGUCGUUUGUAUACUUUUGUGCCUUCUGCAAUAUGUACUGAUGCCGAGCGAAUUGUAUAAUUUAUCCGAACAACUUAUUAUCAUUGCGUCUAUUUUUUUCUAUGGCUGCAGUUAUCUUCCAAUUAUAUAUAGUUUGGCAAACGCUUUCCGUUCGAUAUCAACAAUUUCAACUUAUAUGCUUUUUAUGCUCAUUGUGUCAGCAAUUGCACCUUUAAUAACAUCUGGCAACAUACGUGCAAUGGAAUAUAAUGAAGGGAAAAUAUUUAUAUUACUGCAAUUGCCGGACUUCAAUUUAAAUCACCAGUUGCGCAUUAUCAAUGAACGGUUUUUACUUACCCGGCGAAAUGAACUUAUUCCUAUAAUAGGAUUACCGAAAGUACUGAGUGUUAAUUAUUUCUUUCUAGAAUCUACAAUAAUUGCAGUUAUCGUAAUGGUCAUCUUUGUAAGUGUUUUAGAAAACAAAUAUAAAUGUGAACAGAUUAAACGAGUGUUCAAAUGCUAUCAGUGCCGGCAAGUUACUGUGAAUAACACCGAAAAUGUUGAUAUUGAAGAGGAAUUAAUGACGAAUGAAAAAGCGGUAGUUACCGACAUUAUGAAUGAGAAAAAUGAAAAACACUAUCCACUGUUGGUUUAUGAUUUAUAUAAGUUCUUCAAUCACAAAGUCGCAGUACGUGGUUUAAAUUUUAUUGUAAAAAAGCAGGAAUGCUUUGGUUUACUUGGUGUCAACGGUGCAGGAAAAACGUCUACUUUCCAAAUGAUUGCUGCAAAUUUAACUAUUACUGGAGGCACAAUUAAAAUUGAUGGUAUUGAUAUCAUGGAAAAUGAGUCUGAAUAUCGAUACCGUUUUGGUUAUUGUCCACAAACCGACUGUCUAAAUGAAUUUAUGACUGCAUAUCAAACAUUAUUCUAUAUGGCAAAGUUGCGGGGUAUUUCAGAUUCCGCCAAAGCAAAGUAUGAAGUUUUAUAUUGGCUGGAGCAAUUAGAUCUUCAAAAAUAUAAAGAUGUUAAAGUUUGUCGUUAUUCUGGUGGAACAAAGCGUAAAUUAAAUGCAGCUAUUGCAAUGAUCGGCAGCCCUUCGCUUGUUUUGUUAGAUGAACCAACAACAGGUGUGGAUCCAGAGUCUCGUAGAUUUUUGUGGAAAUGUAUAAAAGAUUAUCAAAGUCGUGGCAAUACUGUUGUACUUACAUCACACAGCAUGGAUGAAUGCGAACAGCUGUGCAAUAGACUGGCGAUAAUGGCUGGUGGAAACUUUAAAUGUUCAGGAUAUGUGCCAGACUUAAAAAAACGAUUCGGUGGUGGAUUCACAAUGAAAGUAAAAUUAAAAGCUGAGGAAACUCAUGUAGUUGAAGAUAUAACAACCGAGUUGUGUAAAAUAUUUUCUGAUAGUCAGUUGCGAGAGAAUCACGCUGGGAUUGUUACCUAUUUUAUAAAUAACGUUGAUGAUCUUAAAUGGUCCGAUGUUUUUAAAAAAACGGAAGCCUUCGCAAGUAGAAAGACAGACCUUGUGGUAGAUUAUUCCUUGAACGAGACAACACUUGAAGACAUAUUCUUAAAAUUUGAAAGCAAUAAAAGAAGGUGUAUACCUCAACUAAGCGUAUCAUAUGAGAUUACACCUUAAAGUUUUUAAACUCUCCCCUAAAAGUAAAUCAAAAUUUAAGGGGUCAGUAGGGUAAUAAUUUUUCAAUUUUUUAGAAUUAGAAACCCACUUUACCAUUGGAAGGUUUCGAAAAAUAAUAAUACCGCUCGACGUUCCAAGCGCUCGGAGCUUUUUUAAACUAACGGACAUGAUUCCGGUCGAAAUACUCAACCGAUUUGCUUAAUUUUUUUUAACCUUGCCUAUAGGCAACAUUGUACAUAUAUGCUUCUAAGUCCCGUUAUUUAAAUUUUUUUUACGCGGGUUCUGGUGUAUUGUGUAAGCAUACACACUGUGAAUUUUUCUAUUGUAAGCUAUGCAAGGGUUCAUGCAAUAGGCGUUUUUCGUAGAGUGAAAUUGUCAAGAUCGCGAAAAAAGGUCUUUACGCAAAAAGUGUUUAAAAAGAUUAAAAUAGCUGUUUUAUUGUAAAUCCAAUGGUACAACACAAAAAAAUAAAGGUAUAAUAGUUAUAAAAAAUAAAAAUAAGUCAUUGGAAAAGUGUUUAGUUUGUUGACAAUGAUUUUGUAAAAGUGCUGUUGUCUAUAGGGAAUAUCCUGUAACUAAGACACUAGGGACUUUGAGAUUUUUAUCACUUCAUACUUGAGUUAAGACUAACAUAUAUCUGUCCUAAAAAAUGUUUUAGCUCCGCCCAUUUUAAUUCAAGCAAGAGAGGGUUAAAAUGUUCACAAAACGCCUGGCUAUGGUCCCUAUAUUUCUUAUAAUUUAUUGACAAAAUUUAUGUAAAUAAACAUCGGGGAAAAACUAAAAUAAAAAAACGUUAAUUACAUUUUUUCAUGAUUCUAGUAGGGACGAUGACCAUUCACGUACAUCUCAUGCACCCAACAAUUUCUCCGACAGAUGUCAUCAAAAAAUUCCGAAAACAAUCCACGAUAUACUUCAUGAUAUGUGAAAAGAGUUCUAUUGUAGAAUAAAAAUUUCUAUGAAAAAAAAUUUCAAAAAAAAUGCCAGAUUACCCUACUGACCCCUUAAUGGCGUGAUCAUAUGUGCAUACAUACAUUUCUGAUUUAAUUACUAUUACUAGGCAUAUAUAUAGUAUCGAAGAAUUUGUUGUCAUAAUCAAAUUAGUUUUAAUCAAGAAACAUAUGUAUAUUGUACAUAUGACGAUUUGCUUUUUGGUCUACUCUGCACUUAACAUUAACGUUGAGACUUCACUAUUGGGAUGUCUAGAUGCAUUAAUGAUUUCAAACAUACAUACAAGACCAAAUAUAUUUGAUUUAAUCAUAUUCUCAUUCAUAUAUUUAACAUAUCUUUCGCAUUGAUGAGUUUUUAUAUUUUGUAUCAUGGACGAAGAUAUUAAGAUUAAGUGUGGUGUAUCUGUAGUCUCAUAAAUUAAGACAUGUAUAUAUUUAUUGGCAUAUGUAUGUAAGGAAUUCGUGAAAAUAAAAAAAGGCAACUCUUAUACAAUUUUGCAUAUGAA
rnacentral:misc_RNA from 1 species